rnacentral:rRNA from 1 species
ACUCCUACGGGAGGCAGCAGUUAGGAAUAUUCGGCAAUGGGGGAAACCCUGACCGAGCGACACUGCGUGAAGGAGGAAGGCCUUAGGGUUGUAAACUUCUGAACGAGAGACGAUAAUGACGGUACCUAGUAAAGAAGCCCGGCUAACUUCGUGCCAGCAGCCGCGGUAAUACGUAGGGUGCAAGCGUUGUCCGGAAUUAUUGGGCGUAAAGAGCUCGUAGGCGGUUUGUCACGUCUGCUGUGAAAAUCCAAGGCUCAACCUUGGACUUGCAGUGGGUACGGGCAGGCUAGAGUGCGGUAGGGGAGAUGGGAAUUCCUGGUGUAGCGGUGGAAUGCGCAGAUAUCAGGAGGAACACCAAUGGCGAAGGCACAUCUCUGGGCCGUAACUGACGCUGAGGAGCGAAAGCGUGGGGAGCGAACAGGAUUAGAUACCCUGG